GAAUAUAAAUUAAAUUGUUGUGAAGAAGAACAAUAAACAAAUGAAGGUACAUAUUUGACCAUUGGCGUAAAAUGUGCGGAAUGUGCUAAAGGAAAAAAGAAAAGAAUGUAUGAAAAGACAAAACUACACUGCAUACCACAGCGCCGCUAACAACUUGUCCUCAGUAAUGCCCUAAAGAAGCUGCGGAAGCAGAAUAUUUGGCGAAUUUCACGAUGAAAUUUGGGAAGGAAGACAACAAAGCGACGUUCUGAUGGCAGGAUGAUGGGAUGACGGUGAUGAUGUGGCAUCCAACGUGAGGCAAUCGGAAGCGCCUAAUUUGCUUGGAGAGUCUACAAUUAGAGGAGCAGGCAAAAUGGUAGCAAGACGAAGGCCAAGCACAUCGACAAUACUUUAACGCAUCCGUGGAACAACAUAAGCGGACGGAAGUUAAUUGGAUCGUGGGAAAUCUGAAGAGCAAUGCAACGUAUGGCAAGGGCACAUUGCAACCGGUCGCAUAAUGUCUCUAGUCACAUACAAAUCUCGAUUUGUGUGACGCAUUGCUAGUGCACUUUUGACUUCUUGGCACCUACUAAAGCUUAUUGCUGUUGUUGUUGGAUUUUUAUUUCGCUGUUGUACACCAUUGUUGCCGUCGACGCCAAAAUACACGCUUAAAUCAGACACAGGAACCGAAGCCAAAAUUUGAACGUGAAGCGCGCGUUAAGCGCCGAAAAGGAAAAGAAAGAGAGUGCAAGAGAGAGAAGGGAGAAAAUAUACGAAAAUUGCAACGUGGCUUUUGUUGCGACAACGCGUGCAGCAGCGAAAGAGAGUGGAGGAAAACAUUAACAAUGACGAUGCAACAGAGAUAUAAAAAGAUGGUGUUGCACAGACACACAUACAGAGAGUAUACGAGAAUAUCACGACGAGAAUUUGUCAUGCAUAGUACGAAAGCAGCCGAGGUAACAGCAGCAACAGCGGCUUAACAAAAGCAACGCAAUUGGCGGCAACACUGAACUUGCCACACACACAAAGUGCCGUUAAAAUGAUACGCAGAGGCACUAAGUAGAUAGCUACUUAUAUGUGCGGGUGUGACAGAGUGAGUAUUUUGUGUGUAUGAUUGUGGGUCUUUGACUGAAGGUAACUGGCGAACAAAAGGUUGCGUGAGGUUUACACUUGACAAUGGCGGUGGCAAUGCGUAACGCAUACACACACAAACAGAUAUACCAAUUUACACUGAAAGCCAAAGAAUCUGUGCGCACCCAUGCAUUUUAUAGUUGUUUGUGGCAUAUGUGGCAUUGUAUGGCCAACAUCAACAACAUUAGCCUCUCGGUGCCUUCUACAGCUCCUUUAAUAUGGCUUCAACUGGCACUUACACUCAAUUUGAGUUGAUCGUAUGUGAGUGCAAUGGACGCAUGUGGCGAACAACGACGAGAUUCACGUUAUACAAGCGGCAGUAAAUGCUGUAAACAUAUUGGAUGAAAUGGGAAAAAUGAAAAUACGUAGAGAUCGUACAUAUGUACCAGAAGACACUCAAGUUAAACACCUAAUAGGCCUCUGUGAAGUUCGAGUUGGCCUGCAGGUAAAUUAAAUAUCAAAGUAAGUAUUACUAAUACGUUGAAGAAAGCUGCAGUAAAGCAGAAGAAAAUCAAAAAAAGGAAUACAACUUGGAACUAGGAAAUUUAAGGACACUUGUGGCAUAAAUAAUGCAAUACAACAACAGUUAAAGAAAAAGUUGCACUGCGAAAAAGCACAAUAAAAGCAUUAUCACGGUCGAAAGUUUACAAAGCGUUCGCAAAGAAAAAACGCGGAGACAAGUAACUCAGUGAAAUGCAGUAAAGGAGAAGUGUUGAACAAAAGAGCAAAAUAUAAGUAAAGAAAAAUGCAACAUUCAACAUCAACAAGAACUGCCCUGAAAGACGCAUUGAGGAGUCCCUAAAGGGACACUUGUCUCGCGAAGCACUCAGCUAUUGCCACUAAAAGUGUCGCUAAUAGCAUCAAAGUGCCAACAAAUUUGAUUUCCAAGUAAAUGUUGAGAGAUGGAAGUAAACACGGAAUAAGGACGCAGUUAAGCUGAAGAAGUUGAAGUCAAAUAGAGUCAAAUAAAACAAACUUUACAGUGUGAAGUAAGUGUUGGGAAAUAUGAAAUAUAAUAAUUUUACCAGCGGAGUAGUUGAAGGUAGAACUAUUAGAACUAAUUAUUAUGUUUUUAAUGAUAUUAAACAUGCCUCUAAGUUUGCGAGAGCUUUUGGAAAUAUAAUAUUCCAAAUGAAGAGAUUGUAGAAUAUAAUAAUAUAUAGUUCCAUCGCAGAGCAUUUAUUCAGAGUUCAUCUCUUAGUAGCGCCAAAACCGAGUUACUUCCACAGAGUGGGACUCAAACGCCGGUCACCGGAAAGUAUUUUAAGAGCUCUAUGACGUGCUAUCGGACGCUUUUGUUGGAUAUGGAGAUGCAAGAUGUUGUUAUAUGUGUAUACAACAGAACUAAAUAGUUCAAAAGUUUUGUAAGCAUUUAGAAACAAUAUGUUCACUAAUUGAAAACAUGAUGUCUUCCAGUGUCACCUCUUUUAUUAGCUUAUUUAAAUCUACCGAAUAUACUACUAUUACUUUUAUUCGACGUUCGGACGGAGCUUAAAGCUUUCAAAGUCAAAGAAAAGCUUUCAGGUUCAAGAAGAAGUUUGAAAUUUUAGUAAAAGGGGCACGCACUAUUACAUAAUAGAGUAUUAUAGUAUAAUAUAUUUUCUCAAAUGGAGAACGUAAGCCCAUCGCAUCUUGUUGUUCCAUAGCUGGCGCUUUUUUAUAUAUGUGUCCUUAUUCAGGCCAAGGCCAAGAAAGGUUCGUAUAUGGAGGACUGUCGUAGCAAUUAUGCUUUUGGUAAGCAUUACAGACUUAUGUUUAGCUGGUUUCCUUGGUUCCGUGGUUUAUGUUUUUAAAAAAGAAAAGUUUUUUAGUAAUAACAGGGGAGUUCUGGACUUAAAAGCCUAGGUAAGAUCACCAGAACGCUUCGAAGACUAUUUUUGGUCAAAUAUUAAUGACUCAGUAAUUGAACAAAUUUUAAGAAAGAUCCUUCCUAUGUCGAUCAACAUUUUCCUUCCUAAAAACGAAAAGACUGGCAGAGUUGCUGUCAGUGAAGCUCCUAUGGUCAUUCGGUAGAGUUUUAUUUGAAACUUAUGUAAGUAAGAUGGUCUACAGAAACAAACUUUAUAGUUUUCUCGCAUUAGAUAAUUAAAGCAGGUACUAUGAGGAGUUAUUUCAUGAAAUCUAAAGUUCACAACUAGAUUUAUUCUUAUCAGACAAAAAGAACCAGCAUCAAUCGCAAUUGAGUGCAAUCGAAUUCCUCAAUGCUCAACCAAAGCUGUGCAUUCAAAAGACAUUUUAAAAUCCAUUACCCAAAUUUAUGACUGAACUAAGUUAGUAGAGUAGGAACGAGUGAAUCUUCCACUUUUCCAACUAUUUCAUUCCACCAAACCUUUGACAUUCCAUCACAAACAACGAUAGCAAAACGCAUAAAAAAUGCCUACGCAAUAAAUUACCAAAUAGCUGAGGCGUAUACGCAACAUUUUUUCUGCUUCUUUUUCGUGGUACUCAUAUCAAAUCCUGCACAACAGCCAUCGUCGACCUCACUUUUAAUAGCUAUUUUAAGGUUGCGCAGAUUUUUCUCUUUCACUCUUCUACGGCAAUCACUGCUGCUCGUUACUCAAUCGCUAGCCAAUGGCUUAGUGUAACAAUGAUUGUAUAUCAAUGACUGGAGUACAACAACAACAACAAUUUUAGCGCAUAAAAGUUAGCAAGAAAAGCGGAUUUUUCAUUGAUUUUUUUUUGUUUGUUAUUGAUGUAUUUUUCUUUCAUUCGCUCAUACAGCAGGCAGGGUAUUAAUUCAUUUUCUUGCCGCUCGAUUUUUGCAUCGUGCUCCAGCGUCGAUAAAGUAUGCAUGGCAUUUCAAUAGCAGCAAAAACAAUGCAAGAAAAUCGGGUGCAAUAUUGCUGGGAGAAUUCAGUAAAAGCACAACACAACACAGCACAAUAUUAGCAACAGUGGCCAAGCGAGCAGCUGCUGGUCGUAAGCAGUUCCCAAAGCUUCAUUGCAUGAAACUAACAGUUUUUAAGGAGUCAACUAGCUGCUGCUGCACCUGUAGUAAGUAAACUACUCGCAUUUGCAAGCAUACGUUCUAAGUGUCAUAAAAUUUCUUUCUGUUAUACGCCACUUCACUGCUGCAGCUACUGCUCUGCUAUCCAUUAGCCAUCUAUCAGUGUUCAAUCAGCCGCAUUCGCCUUGACCGCGUGCAAAUGUGUGUGUGUCCGUCUACUUGCACAUAAAUAUAUACCAAUAUCGUUCAACUUUCCACUGUAGCCAUGCACAAAAGCUUGACGAAAGGACUUAGUGACUGCUGACUGACAGCAUUUACAGCCGAGCCACCUCCUCCGCAACCGCACUAUCAACCCAACCUCAUCAUAUGGCACACAAACCACUGCGAUUUUUCUCAACGAUUUUAUUCCAUUUGUGGCACUACUACAUAUGCGUGCGCUUGUACGAGUAUUUGUCGACUUUUGUCUCUUUGUAAACGUAUUUGUUAAGUACUGCGUGAGAGCCCUACACCAUCGCCGCAUGAGUGAAGAGUUCACCUUGAGCGCAAAGGCAAACAGAAAUAUGAGUAGUUUAGUAGUUUGUAGGACGAAUGCGGUAAACUACUACAUACAUACGAGAUAUGUUCAAAAACUAACGGGAAUAUUAAUUUUUUGAAAAAAAAUUAUUGAUUCGUCUACAUUUAUGUUCAAAAUAAUCCCAAAUCGAGAUCGUCGAAAUACCUCUCCAACUCGAUUUUUGGACAUCAUUUGGCUCUUUCAGCGAUUUCUAGUAAGCUUCUAGUAAAAUUAUGACACUUUAAGGUUCUCACUACGCUUUGGGAAUAGUAAAGAGUCAGAUAGAGUCAUAAAGAAUAAUGCAAAUGAACGAAAUUUUUAAAUUUUACAAUUCCCUUUAUUUUUUGAACACAUCUCUACUAGUAGUGCGCUUAGUUACAGACCAUUUCUCUGGCAACAAACUACAAUUUUUCUUUUUAUGAUUUUCAUUUUCAUUUUCUAACUUGAAUUUUUAUUAUAUUUUUUAAGCCCUCGCUCCCUUUACAUUUACCUUCAAGUAACAAAAGCGGGUUUUAUGUGGUUUUUUGGUCUGUCAUUGUGGCCGAAAACGAGAAAACAUAUGUGCAUUUGUAAUGGUUGACAUCAUUGUUGUAACCACUUAUUUGCAUGGCUUGAAUUUGUACAUAAAUCGGAAUGGACAUUUAAACAUCCACACAUGCAUAUACAUAUACUUUUCAGACACUGAGUGGUGCUUGGUUGCAGUUCUAAAAGCAAUUUAAAUUCUAUUUAACCUCACUUUAUGCUGUUGAGUGCAGUAAUAAAUAAAACAUAUCACUUAGCACCACACAAAAUUUCUCUUUACAGUAAAUUAAGUAUUUCCCUUACGUAUUUAUUUUAAUUGUUCAGGAAGAAUUUCAAAUAAUUGAUUUAAGUGAUCACUUAUCAAAAUUUGAGAUGAAAUGACGUCAGAAAAAUAAAUAGAGACAGCACAAUUGGCUUAUUGUUUCAAUACUUCUAGCUUUCUUUAAAUAUCUGUUUCUCCCCCCGCUUUUUCUCUAUCUCCAUUACUUUUCUCCUCUUUGUUUACAUAUAUAUCACCCUCUCUCUUUCUCUAUCCCAAUUUCACUCUCUCGCUCCCUUAAAAAAUAGAUCUCUCUAUCUAACCCUAUCCCUUUAUAUAACUCUAAAUUUUUCUAACACUCUUUAUUUAUCUUUCCCUACCUCUCCUUCUUUACAUCCCUCGACCUCACUUCCAAUCAACCUUAUUUUAUUUUAAGAAGAUAUAUUUAAUUUCAAAAAACAAGUAAAAGAAUUUGUUAAUUGUAGAUACAAAUUUUUCUUUGUCAUAAAGACAUUAAAUCAGAUUAUUUUAAAAUUAGUUUUUUGCACUGCAAAAAUAUUUACAUAUCUUAACAAAUUCCAGCUUAUCUCUCAAAUGAUUAAUUGGUUUAAACAAACUAAAUUGUAACACUUUCAACACCGUAAUUCAGGCGAAUGCAUUGCUAUACAAGCUGCAGCCUGUAGCUGAUUGACUACAAAGUUAUAGUGUGUACAUAGCUCGGUUUGUGCUAUAUUUUGCAAAUGCUCGUAUAUGUGUUUGGUGCUCCAAAGUAUGCAAUCAACAAUGCAACGAAACGAAAUAUCUUCUCCACACACCAAAAAUUCACAAAUAAUUCGCACAAAAUGAAAGAUUUAUAACAAGCAGCCGACUAGGCAGUCGAGUCAGAGGCACGCUAGACAGUCAGAAGAGUGUGAAAGAGAUAGGAAAAGAGAGAGAGGUGAUUGGGCGCUGAUACUAGUGUGUAGUGAAAUAAAAUACAAAUUCGAAAAUUUUUGCAUUCUUGAUUUCAAGUUCUCUCGAACUGCUGCUCAGGAAUGUAGCUUAUAUGCUUCUGCUACUGCUGGAAAAUAUGCAGUUAUUGCAUUUAGAUUUUACGACUCAAAAUGUAAAUUAUGUAAAUUAUCAGCAUAGUCUAAAGAUAAUAUCUAGCUUAGUAGUAUGAUUAAGAAGUAAAGAGAAUUGGAUUAAAUAUUAAUAGUGUCAGAUAUUGAGAUUGAACUAUACUUAGAAAUCUAAUAAGAUGUUUCAUAAAGACUCUAAGAGAACAAAUAUAUGCUUAGAGAACUUUUAAAAAUUCAAAUGGUGGGAUCUGGAGAUAUUCAGAGAAAGGACUUUGUUGGCAUAUAGGCGUUGUAUGAUGAAUGAGAUUUCCAUCUAUCAAAACAAAUUACAUUUACACUUUGCCUGAAGUAUACAUAGGACUCAAUCCCCAUUAAUUCUGAAGAACAGGUCGAAUAAAUUUCUUUACGGGGCCUAAUAUAGCUUCGUCAUGCAUCAAGCAGCAAAGAAAAAUUGGUAAUACAACAAUAACAUGGAAAUCUAAUUAGAUGUUGCGUAGUAUGUUCCCAACAAAGUUCGAUAAUUUUGUUUAAGUUAUGAUUUGGAGUUGCCGGACUGAAAAAUAUGUUAAAUGUGAAGACUAAGGAAUAUUUUUCUUACUUUAACAUAAACAAUUUUUGCAAUCAACGUUUUGUACUUACAACAAUUUAAUAAUGACCGAAAAUUGAUGCCGAAUACUUUUAUGCUUACCUGUAAUGAAAAAUGGAUAUUCAUUUCAAAUUAGUUGAUUAAUAAUAAAUAGAAAUGUUCAAUAUUUAAAGCUAAAACCAAAUAUUUUCUAUAUAAUAUUUAUCUCAGCAAACUAAUAAAAUAAAAAAUAGAGUUGCCACAAUUUUUCUUACAUACGAAUUAAGAAAUCAAAAAAUGUUCUAAUUUAGACGAAAUCGACAACCUUCAAAAUGACAUAAAAAAUUAAAACUGUCAUAACAAUAGAAAAAUUGAAAUGUUUGUUUGCGAAAUUAUAAAAAAUGGCAAUUGCUUGCUGCUCACUGCUCGAUUUAAAAAAUAUGCACUUUUUGGGAAAAACAGUGAGCAUUUAACAGCAACAUGUCCUUUUCUUCAUUUACAUAAUUUAAAAUUCUAUAUCUACAAAUGUUUGCUGCGCAUAUCUGGCACAUUCAAAUAAAAAAAUUUUGCAUUUUGCAUGCAUUAUGCUUUUGUCGGCCACUUUGAAGACUGUUGUGCAAAUACAGCCUGCUGCUGUGCCACAAUUUAUACAAAUACACAUUGUAAGCAUUGCAUAUUCAAGCAGCUAGAGGUCACAGUCAUGUGACGUAUGUGUGCAAAUAGCCAAAUAUAGAACUAAGAUGCCAAGAACUGGAUUGCCUACACUUUCAGAAGGCAGAAUUUGCAUGCUUAAGAAUAAGAAUAUGUAAACGCCUGGCAACACUGCGCCUCAUCGGGUCACUCAACGCAAGAGUACACGGGUGUUGCCAGAUGCGGCUACUUGAUUGUAUUUCCUUGGCAUUUCCUAGCCAAGCAGUUAGCUGCUUAUCGAGUUUACUGAUAAAGCGUUUACUUUAGUUGUAGUUGGAGUUUUUUGGGUUUUAGUGCAAAGUUACUCAACUCAACAACUUUGCAUGCCUUCGUCUUAUUGCACAUGUUCCUUGUAUUUGUACUGGACUUUUUCAGUAUUCACGCAGUUGUAGUUCUUGUGUUGUCCCUUGUAUUUUACUUGCCGCUCUUAUCUGCUGCUUUCGUUUCUGCCAAAUUUGAAUUGCUUGCUGCUCGCUGUUCACUUGAUUGUUUGUCGGCAACAUGUUUUUUGGUAUUUGUUGUUGUAGGAUUCUUGCAAAUGCAAGCGCUUGAUUGUUGUUUUUUUCUUUUCCUUAAAUUUCACAGACAAAUAUUGAGGUUGCUCAUACGCCCCAACACCCCACACACAGCGCAAGGCUCACCCGCCGCCAACCAAAACUUAGUGGCAACAAGACAGUCGAUGAAUAUCAGCGGCAAGUGCACAACAAUGGCAAACAAUAGAUUUAACCGUUGUUGCGUUGUGCACAGCUAAAGAAACAUUUUGUGGAAAGUCUAGCGCGGGGAGUCCCCUGUUGCGUGGCAAGUUUUUGUUGAGGAGUGGAGGGGUAAAAAUUUUGCACAAACUUAUUAUUUACUUCGAAGGACACAAGUGAUGUAAUGUUACUAUGUAAAGCGGAUUGCUCGAGAGCUUAAUGUUGAACAAACACACACAAACACACACUUACACAGAAACUAACAGAAAAUUUGCCUUGCCUUCAUCCACAGAGCGUAUAUGCCACUUGCCACUACACAGGCAGCCAACUUAACUGCAUACAGUGUGUUUAGCGGCAUAUGUGGACUGGUUCUUUGUUGCCUGCUGCUGGCUUUAGUAGUUUGAAGUCGGAAUUUUCAAAAUUUUUGUUGUUUUCUUUUUGUUGUUGUUAUAUUGCCUACUAUUGCUUUUAUUGUUGUGAAAUUGCGGAAAUCAAGUGUGUUUGGAGCAGCUGUUUUAUGCUACUAUGCUAGGUGCUAGCAUAUUCUUGAUAUUCUUGUAGGAAUAGAUUUAUGGAAAAAAGAUAGUUGAUCUUGGAAGUCGAACUAAUAGAAAAAUGCAAAAUGAAAUUUGAGACUUAAAGUUGUUGAGGCAAUUAGGGAACAAUAAUGGAAGUUCUACUUUUAUAUGAUGAGAGUGCUCCCAAAAACGAAUGUCGUUGAUAUCUUUUUUUCUUCUUUGGCACUAUAAUCGUGGGCCGUUUUGGACCGAGAACAUAAAACUUCAUCAUUUGCUUAUAUCCUUUGCGAAGUCACACUAGUUGUAAAUUCCAAAAGUUCCCCAAGCAUUUGGUCCUUCUAGGGGAUGCGUGGAUGUCCAUGCUUAUUUGAUGAGCACUCAUGGGGCAUUCGUUGAAUUUUUGUGCGCUUUAUUAUAUCCAUGCGCCGUAGAACUUAUACAAUUAAUGGUUCCACCUUAUUCAGUAAUCAAUGAUCACGCGUACAUCACCAAAGAUCUUAGAGGGAACAGUUCUCUCGAAUGUUACAAGUGUUUUCUUAUCUCGGUUCGUCAUGAUAGGAGGGAAUGAUUAGAUACAGAACCCAAAGCAGCUGGUUUGGCAUACUUUUACCACUUAUACUGUCUACUUAAUGGAUAUCCAUCCCAUAUUGUGGUAUUAUUAAUGAAAUUUCAUUCGAGAAGGGAGGGUAUUAGUUAUAAUCAAGAGGGCUGCAUGGGCUAAAUAAAAAUAAAUAAAAAGACAACUUGCAUGUCAAUCAGAACCUAAUAUUCUAACUCUACUGUGUAGUCUAGUUUUGAACUUUUUCUACUUUCUUUGUUUUCCUUUAAAACUUUUCUCUCCCUCAAAUUUCUCUCAAGACCUUCACUUCUAUUCUAUUACCACCAUUUAUAUAACAAUAGGACUAUGACAACAAGUACUCAAACAAAGAGCAAUAAAAAAAUAAACUACAACAAAUAAAGAGUGAACCCAACCAAAUGCGUUCUUAUUCAAGAAACAUUGUAAAAAUAAAAAAUCUUAUGAAAAACGUAACAAAAAACUUAAGGCAAAGUAAACUAAAACUAAGUCAACAAGAAACAAAGCAAAAACUGUAAGUUGCACAACAAAGGAACCGAGUAAUUGAAACGCAGAUAAACGUAGAAAGAUCAUAAUAACGGUAAAAUGCUUGAUGAAAAGAUGAAACUGAAAAUGAUGCCACGGCUACAAAAAAGGGUUAGACGAAAACAUCAAAAAUACAAUAUAAUUGCGUAACUGUAAAUGUGACAAUGGAAUUGUAGGCGAACGAAGCGAGCGAACGAAGGACACACGAACACAUAAGUGGGGAAAUAAAAUGCAUAUAACUGCACUUUAAGCGCAAGACGAAGGCAAAAAUUGGAGCCGGUAAACCAUAAAGAGGAAGAGGAAGCAAAGCUAACAUAUAUAUAUGGGAAUAAAGAGGUGAUAUAUCUGUUUCAAAUAGCUGUACGAUUGAAAGCUAAGUCAUAUUCUUUAAAGUGGACAUGAAAUAAAUGGAUUAACGGUAAUAAAGAAGCUGGUUUGUGGUUUUUAAAGGAUAGUAAGGUUGUUAAUUGGCUGAACAGUGGCAUUUUGACUUAAACGAGACUGAACUCUGAGAUCGUCAUACAUUUCAGUAUUAAUCGUUGCUUUUCUUUCAUUAUUUUCCUUCUGAUAUCCCCAUUGGCAGAACGACGGAAAUGAAAGUCAUUGUCUACUCACCAGCAUCGAUUGUAUCGGUGCACUGCUUUUGUCGACUGCGUCAACUGCAACCGUUACAGCUUUCUGCUACCAUUCUUGUUCUUUAUACAUAAGCAAGUGUUUUAUAUAUGGUUAUGUUGUUCUUUUGGCAAAAGCUUUCGGCGUUUUUUAUUAUGACUUCCGCGCUGCCAGCAGUUUUCGUAUUUUAACGUUACAUCAGACAAGUUGGAAUUUUAUGAUGACAACGCUGCCGAAAGUUGACAAUUCAAUGUGGUGCAGGACCAAUAACGUUGGCUCAAAGAUAAAUUUUUAAAGCUUAGCAAAUAUUUUUCUUCUUCAUUUUAUUCUCGUUUCUUACUCUUCUCCAUACAAAAUUUGUAUUCUAAAUAUUUUAUUCUUUAACUAUCUUCCUCUCCUCUAAGAGCAGCCAUCCACCGCUAGUUAAUGAAAUCAGUUGCGCUUGGCUAAUACCUCGUGGCACGUGACUACCGGCACUUCACUUUGUCUAUGAUAGGGCAACAACAACACUCAAAGAAAGAAAUACAAACAACUACCAGUUGCGGUGCCAAUGAUAGCCAAGUAACACCGAAAAUAAACAGCACAGAAGAAUAGAUAAAAAAUAUGUGAAGAAAGCACCUAAAAACAAAAACGACAGAGUCAAAAGCAGUCAAGCAAAUCUACAAAGCCAGUGAAGUCAGUGAAGCGAGACAGUGUUGGUAUGCGCGAGACAAAACUUGUUAAUGGAGACAGUGAGGUGAACUAAAGAGAAUAAAGAGAAAAAAGAAAACAAAGAGUAUACGAAAAUCGAGAAGACAAUGAUGGAAGAAGCGUCUAAGCUUAGAGGGUCAGGUUCUUAAAAAAAAAUGUUUUCUCCCAUUUUUCUUUGCAUUUCCUCAAAACUGUUGGUUUUGACUUGUCAGCUUUCAUGUGUUUUUGAAAGGCUUCCCACAAAAAGUGCUCAUGAGAAGUUCUCGAUUUGAUUGAAAGUUCUUUUUCUCUUCCUCACUUAUGUUUGUUUUUCAUUCUUUUUGUUGCUAUUGUUUCUUAUUUGCUGCCAGCUGAUAAACCACUCAUCAUCUCUUUACCAAAGCAUGGUAUGCAUUCUAGUAAGCCUUCAUUAUGUCUCUGCUGUUUGAAGUUGUGUUGUUGCGCUGUCUUUCUUUUUUUGGCGAGUUUCUUCUAUUUAAUUCUUCUAUUUAGUAAAGACUUUUGCAGACAUGAGCAACAACCAUACCAGCAAAAGGAUGGCUAAUAAUGAGAAGACAGCAAAAAGCAGUGGCAACGCAAAGACAACAACAAUAAAAACAGCAACUGGCUAGCAGACAACGAAAGUAUUGUGACUACAUUGCCAUUAGAUGACAAUAACAAUAACAACAACAUUGAGUUGUUUGUUGCCGCCACUUUAAAUGCAUACGUACUAUUGUUGGGAGGCGAAGAAAAAAUGAAAAAUAUAAAACAAAAAUAACAAAAAAAACUCCAAUAGUUUGGCUAAGUUUGCUUUUUUGCUCUUAUUUUCUUCGUUUAACUAUUGUAAAUGUGAAUGCCAAAAAAAAUUAGAAGCAAACAACAACAAAAUUGUAACUUGUCAGCAACUCAACUUAAUUAAAAGUAGCUCAAAACAACAACAAUAACAACAACAACAAACAAUUUAAAAUAAAAAAAUAGAGGAAAAAUUUUUUUCUUAAAAAAUAAUUUAAAAAAAUAAUAACAAAAACUUUUAUUAUUGACUGCUCAUUGCUACGAUAAGUUAACUUACUAAGUCUCAAAUUAUAUUGAGUUUUUAGGUGUGUCGAAGUAAAUUUAAGUAGUAAGAAAAACUUGUGAAAUUAAGAAAGUACGCUUGAGUAGCUAAUAUUUCAAUAAAAAGUUAAAGCAAAUGCCACUCGAGUUGCCGCUGUUGGGUUGCGAAGUGACUGUUGAUGAGGUCAGCAGGCGAUUUCUUAAUCCAGCUGCUACGAAAACUAUCAGAACUUUCCUUCAGAGAAGUUUUUCAGUGGUCAAAAAUUUUAGAAUUUGCCUUACGGUUAAGUAUGAUUAAUUAUUGGACUAAUCUCCGCUACAAUUUAGGUCAACCAUAACUUUACUUUCAUGUACACUAACUUAAUUUUAAUGUCUGAUCUAAAGUUUAGGUCACCUCCCAAAACUUCUUAGGCACAAAAUAGUAAUUUGACAGCAUUUAAAACAUGUUAAUUCUAAAUAACACCACUCAUAUUUACACAAUAUAAAUUUACACGCCUUGGGACCAAAUAUUAUUUGCAGCAACUUUCCUAUGAUUUAUACAUACUUCAAAUCUACAUAACAAUAUUAUUGGCUCACCACAUUACCGAGUACUCUCCCAAGCACUAAUUAAUAAUAUUCCCUACGAAAAUUUCAGUAGUUUCAAGUAUAUAUUUACGAUAUUACAAAUAGGCAUACUGAUAUUUGCCGGUCUGCCCAAUGAAGUUUCAUCUGCAGUGUCUUAAGUCAGGAAGCUUCGUUCUCAGUAAGCAACACCUUAACCACUUGUUGUUGAGGCAAACAGAUGCCAGCCAACUUACAUGAACUUCAUGACAAGUUUGUAUGUAAAUAUGUAUUUUAUGAAGUGAUGCCUUUUGAGUAAAACUUGACAAAUGUUGCAAGCAGCUUAUCGAAAUGUGAGUGAGAGUGUAAGUUGCAAUCGAAAGUCAUAAUGGCAACAGCAAAAGGUUGACAAAAUAUUUAUGUCUCGAAGUAAAUGACGUGGUUUCAUAUAACCAGGAAGCAAACAAGUUGUUGUAUAUAUGCACAUAUGUAUUAAUGUUUCUCCUCCAAUAAGACAAUAUGCAUGUGAGUAGAUGGUUUAUUAGUACAAAUGAUUAUGAAUAAAUAACUAAGAGCGAUCUUAAUCCAAUGAUAUUUGCUUAGGAAAGUGUGCUUAAUUAAAGCAGCUUUCGAAUGGAUGAGGAAUGUCGGAACAAUAUUGCUUUUGUUUCAACUUCAAGUGGAGAUAUGUUGGUGUGUGCUUAAAUAUUUAUUGAAAUCACUAACAUACUUACAGGAUUUUGAGGAUAUUUAGUUGAAUAUAUGACCUUUAAAGAGUAUAUGGGUUUCCAAAUUGGGCCGAUUGUACAUUAAUGAAUUUAUCUAAUAAUUGAUACCCAAUAUGACAUUUUAUAGAAUACCAUAAACCAUAGACGUUUAAAUGAACGAUUAUUCUUAGUAGACCCCUUUUAAAAAUGUCAAAGAUAUUUAAUAUAUUA